rnacentral:rRNA from 1 species
UACGUAGGGUGCGAGCGUUGUCCGGAAUUAUUGGGCGUAAAGAGCUUGUAGGCGGUCUGUCGCGUCUGCUGUGAAAAUCCGGGGCUCAACCCCGGACUUGCAGUGGGUACGGGCAGACUAGAGUGUGGUAGGGGAGACUGGAAUUCCUGGUGUAGCGGUGAAAUGCGCAGAUAUCAGGAGGAACACCGGUGGCGAAGGCGGUGCUCUGGGCCGGUACUGACGCUGAGGAGCGAAAGCGUGGGUAGCAAACAGG